rnacentral:rRNA from 1 species
AAUAGAUACCCUGGUAGUCCACGCCGUAAACGAUGGAUGCUAGCUGUUAUGCGUAUCGACCCGUGUAGUAGCGAAGCUAACGCGUUAAGCAUCCCGCCUGGGGGGUACGAACGCAAGUUUAAAACUCAAAGGAAUUGACGGGGACCCGCACAAGCGGUGGAGCGUGUUCUUUAAUUCGAGGCUAAGCGAAGAACCUUACCAGGGCUUGACAUCCUUGGAAUUUCUCCGAAAGGAGAGAGUACUUUAUUGGACCAAGUGACAGGUGCUGCAUGGCCGUCGUCAGCUCGUGUCGUGAGAUGUUUGGUUAAGUCCAUUAACGAGCGCAACCCUUAUGAAUAGUUGUAUUUUUCUAUUCAGACUGCCCCGGUAACGGGGAGGAAGGGGGGAUGAUGUCAGGUCAGUAUCGCCCUUACGCCCUGGGCUAGAAACGCGCUACAAUGGCCGGUACAAUGCGCUGCCAACCCGCGAGGGGGAGCAAAUCGCAUCAAAGCCGGUCCCAGUUCGGAUAAGAGGCUGAAGCUCGCCUCUUUGAAGCCGGAAUCGCUAGUAAUCGU